UGGGGAAUAUUGCACAAUGGGCGAAAGCCUGAUGCAGCAACGCCGCGUGAGUGAUGAAGGUCUUCGGAUUGUAAAGCUCUGUCUUUUGGGACGAUAAUGACGGUACCAAAGGAGGAAGCCACGGCUAACUACGUGCCAGCAGCCGCGGUAAUACGUAGGUGGCGAGCGUUGUCCGGAUUUACUGGGCGUAAAGGGUGCGUAGGCGGAUGUUUAAGUGAGAUGUGAAAUACCCGGGCUUAACUUGGGUGCUGCAUUUCAAACUGGAUAUCUAGAGUGCAGGAGAGGAGAAUGGAAUUCCUAGUGUAGCGGUGAAAUGCGUAGAGAUUAGGAAGAACACCAGUGGCGAAGGCGAUUCUCUGGACUGUAACUGACGCUGAGACACAGAAAGCGGUGGUAAGCA
rnacentral:rRNA from 1 species